rnacentral:rRNA from 1 species
AGCGGGAAGCCUACCUCAAGAUAAGAUUUCCCUGUGACUUUAUGUCACCUAAAGAGCCGUUGAAGACUACGACGUUGAUAGGUUGGAUGUGGAAGUGUAGCGAUACAUGAAGCUGACCAAUACUAAUUGCUCGUGAGGCUUGACUAU